AUUUUGGGGUGAACUCACUAUCCCUUUAAUAAGGAGUAUCAUGAAAUGGGCAACAUACAAAACUAACUAAAUGUGCUGUGUUCUGUUUGUAGGUGUACAUCGCUACAUUUGCUGUGUCCGGCUAUGCUUCCAGUUACUACAGAGCAGGAGGAAAACCCUUUAAUCCAGUGUUGGGUGAGACCUACGAGUGUGAUCGUCCAGACAAAGGCUUUUGUUUUGUGGCGGAGCAGGUCAGCCAUCACCCCCCCAUUUCUGCAUGUCAUGCCGAAUCUAAAAACUUCAUCUUUUGGCAAGACGUGAGGUGGAGGAAUAAGUUUUGGGGAAAGUCCAUGGAGAUUGUACCUGUUGGAACUACACACGUGGUUCUCCCUGGGUAAGAUUUUGUCUGUUUAUUAAAUUCACA